CCCUGCCCCGCCCCCACCAGCGCCCGAACCGCCCCCAGCCGCUCUCACAGGUUUGUUAUGUAACCGCCGGGCCAGCCCCGCCCUCAGGGUGGGCUGAGGUGCGGCUCCCUGGAGACCCCGCCCGCUAGCCGGGAGCCAGCGGCGCAGUGCGAGUUCAGCCCGCUUUCUUCGCGCUCCGCGUCAAAUCUCUCCAGCUCUGUUCUCGCAUCCCGGGUUUAGAUCCCGCAGAGUUAAGUAUCCCGCGUGUGAAGGGAUGAACUGAGACUCCCAGAGGGCAUAACUGAUGGAGGCACGAAGAUGUCUGCUCUUCAGCUUUGCCAAGAUGGGCCACCUGUUUUAAAUCCAAAAGCUGGUAGGAGUUUCAGGUACACUGCAUUUGCUUCUGCUGUCCUAUUGCACUUGGACUUGGUGCAGCUAUGACCUAAUGCAGAAGACAAAGUAUGAAGCUACCAAACUGUCAGGGCCAGAACUAAGCCUGUAUAAUUGAUAGGAACCUUCUGGGUGCAUGAUGAGUGGAUCUUCUGAUAAGAUACAUUUAAAGUGUCCCCUGUUGGUGGCUUCUAAUAUGGGGCUAAGGAUGUGACCAAGAAUGGCCUGUAAUCCUGAAGCCUGCCAAGAUUGCAUCAUUGAAACAAUGCUUCCUACCAGGUGGAGAGAAAAUGCAGUAUUCUUAUCUGAGACGUAAUAGAGGCCAGAGUGCUGAACAACACUAUCCACCAGUUCCGUAGCCCCAUAGGGCUGGGGAAGCCACUGGUAUAUGGAACCUUACUGUACCCUGUUGAGGCUUAAACAUGUCAGUGGCCACUA
rnacentral:lncRNA from 1 species